ACAUUGAUUUGUCACUCCGGAAACCACUUAGCAUUCUGCUACAUGCUCUUACAGUCCCGCUAAUAGCCACCAGGAAAUUAGACAUUAUGUAACAGAAAGAGAAAUCUUCUAAACAACCUGAAAUCAUUUACCAUGUGAGAGUGGUGAUGGGAUGGGUAUUUCUGUUCAUUUUUACUUGCAUGUUAGCUGCUUUAAAGACAAGUCAGAAAAAAUUAUCCUGAACUUCAGUUUGUGAAACUAGGAUGGGAUCACGUGACAUCUGGAAGAGAGGCCUUCAUUACAGGUCCGUGUUCAUUGGCUGCGGCCCACAAUCAGGGAUCUGGCAGGAAUGACGUCAUGGGACCCUGAGCAACCCCAGCUUUUCUCUCCUGGAAUGGACCGUAGUCUCGUUAUGACAUCAUGAGUCCAAAACAAGCUGUGCUACCAGGCUAUUUGGGACAGAGACGCUGUUUUCAAGGCUUCAGAUUCAAAUGAUGAUGCCACAGGAGGCUGGAUUUCUAAGAAAGCCAUGCCUGAGCAUGUCAGGAGGACGGCUGGGGGACCUACCGACUGGACAGGCACCGUCUGACACCACCAGA